rnacentral:rRNA from 1 species
AGAGUUUGAUCAUGGCUCAGGAUGAACGCUAGCUACAGGCUUAACACAUGCAAGUCGAGGGGCAGCAUGUUGGUUGCUUGCAACCAACGAUGGCGACCGGCGCACGGGUGAGUAACGCGUAUCCAACCUACCCUUGUCCAUCGGAUAACCCGUCGAAAGGCGGCCUAACACGAUAUGCGGUUCACGGCAGGCAUCUAAGGUGAACGAAAUGUGAAGGAGAAGGAUGGGGAUGCGUCUGAUUAGCUUGUUGGCGGGGUAACGCCACAAGGCUACGAUCAGUAGGGGUUCUGGAGAGGAAGGUCCCCCANAUUGGAACUGAGACACGGUCCAAACUCAGUACGGGAGCA